CCUACGGGGGGCAGCAGUGAGGAAUAUUGGUCAAUGGACGAGAGUCUGAACCAGCCAAGUAGCGUGAAGGAUGACUGCCCUAUGGGUUGUAAACUUCUUUUAUAUGGGAAUAAAAUGUUCCACGUGUGGGAUUUUGUAGGUACCAUAUGAAUAAGGAUCGGCUAACUCCGUGCCAGCAGCCGCGGUAAUACGGAGGAUCCGAGCGUUAUCCGGAUUUAUUGGGUUUAAAGGGAGCGUAGGUGGAUUGUUAAGUCAGUUGUGAAAGUUUGCGGCUCAACCGUAAAAUUGCAGUUGAAACUGGCAGUCGUGAGUACAGUAGAGGUGGGCGGAAUUCGUGGUGUAGCGGUGAAAUGCUUAGAUAUCACGAAGAACUCCGAUUGCGAAGGCAGCUCACUGGACUGCAACUGACACUGAGGCUCGAAAGUGUGGGUAUCAAACAGGAUUAGAUACCCCAGUAGUC
rnacentral:rRNA from 1 species